rnacentral:lncRNA from 1 species
AUGCAGUGGUGUAGAGGUUGGGUCUGAACGGGUCGUUUUGCAUCAUUAUCAAGAAGAUAACAUAGCCGCAAGGAUUAAGAGGAGGGGUGAGAAAUAAGUCGUAUAAAAGGCAAAAGAAAAGUCCACAGAGAUCAGUCGAGCGAGUAUCUCCGACACGUAAAUUAUCGCGUCGUGCUGCACUUGUGUAUUCUAUCGUUGAUGGCUGGUUUCAGCCAUGAUGUACCGAUGUCUCCUGGGUAUGGCGGAUAACAAAUCCCAACGCCGCCGCUUUACUACACAACACACUACACGACCAGUUGCUACACCGAGGCCCCUAAGUACUGCACCAAGGCUCCAGAUUAUUGUUCCACAACUUAUGCUGCCCUGAGCUACUACACCGAAUCCCCGCUGUAUUAUUCUUCCCCGACCUACACCACCUAAGGGUCGAUUACUACACCGAUGCUCCGAAGUACUACACCACUAAGGCAAUUGUUGCUCCGAUACUCUACACCAAAGUGCCUUAGUGCUGUACCGAGGGCACUAAUUUUUACACCACCAAGGCACCGGAGUACUACUGCAACAUACGCUGCUCCAGCUCAUUACACUGAGGCUCCCAAACACUACACCACCAAGGCAUUGGAGUACUACACCACUACAUAUCAUGAGAAAAGGUGAAAGAAUUCAGCAGCCGAAUGAGCAUCUCCGUUACAGCAACAGGAACUGCCGUGCACUUAGUCAUCAACUUCAUUCUUCGUCCCAUUACAAGUUUUAAGUAAAGUAAACAAUGGCGUCGUGCUGCUGUUGGGUGUUGUAUCGUUGAUGGCUGGGUCGACCACUGGUGUACCGAUGUCUCCUGGGUAUGGCGGGUACCAAAGCACAACACUGCCGUGCCGUCUUACUAUUAAGCAUCAACUUCCGCUGCUCCAGCUUACUACACUGAGGCUCUCAAGUGCUACUCCACCAAGGCUCCAGAUUACUACAUCACAGCUCAUGUUGCCUCAAGCUACUACGCUGAAUGCCCGAAGUAUUUUUUCCCGAGCUACACUAUCAAAGGGUCGAGUAUUACGUCAAAGCUCCCAAGUUCUACAUCACAAAGGCACCGACGAGUACAAAAACGGUCGAAUACUACACAGAAUCAUGGUACACUAUGGCGUUGUGCUAUUGUGAAUGUUGCAACGGUGAUGUCUGGUUCGACCACUGGUGUGCCGAUUUCUCCUGGGUAUGGUGGGCUUGAACAUUCCGCAACAACCGGUUUCACCAAGGCUCC